rnacentral:rRNA from 1 species
CCUACGGGUGGCAGCAGUGGGGAAUAUUGGACAAUGGGCGAAAGCCUGAUCCAGCCAUGCCGCGUGUGUGAAGAAGGCCUUCGGGUUGUAAAGCACUUUCAGUGGGGAAGAAAGCCUUGGGGCUAAUACCCUCGAGGAAGGACAUCACCCACAGAAGAAGCACCGGCUAACUCCGUGCCAGCAGCCGCGGUAAUACGGAGGGUGCGAGCGUUAAGCGGAAUUACUGGGCGUAAAGCGCGCGUAGGCGGUCUGAUAAGCCGGUUGUGAAAGCCCCGGGCUCAACCUGGGAACGGCAUCCGGAACUGUCAGGCUAGAGUGCAGGAGAGGAAGGUAGAAUUCCCGGUGUAGCGGUGAAAGGCGUAGAGAUCGGGAGGAAUACCAGUGGCGAAGGCGGCCUUCUGGACUGACACUGACGCUGAGGUGCGAAAGCGUGGGUAGCAAACAGGAUUAGAUACCCGGGUAGUC